ensembl:Mt_tRNA
UAGAAAGUGGUGUAGUUUGGAAGCACUAGGAGUUUUGAGUUCCUCAGGUAGGGUUCAAGUCCCCCUUUUCUAA